rnacentral:tRNA from 4 species
GGGCUCAACCGGGGAUUGAACCCGGGACCUCUCGCAUGUGAGUCAGACCCAAAGCGAGAAUCAUACCGCUAGACCAUUAAGCC